rnacentral:rRNA from 1 species
UACGUAGGGGGCAAGCGUUGUCCGGAUUUACUGGGCGUAAAGGGCGCGUAGGCGGUCAGCACAAGUCAGUUGUGAAAUCUCCGGGCUUAACUCGGAAAGGUCAACUGAUACUGUGCGACUAGAGUGCAGAAGGGGCAACUGGAAUUCUCGGUGUAGCGGUGAAAUGCGUAGAUAUCGAGAGGAACACCUGCGGCGAAGGCGGGUUGCUGGGCUGACACGUGACGCUGAGACGCGAAAGCGUGGGGAGCAAACAGG